GCAGCAGUGGGGAAUAUUGCACAAUGGGCGAAAGCCUGAUGCAGCAACGCCGCGUGAGGGAUGACGGCCUUCGGGUUGUAAACCUCUUUUAGUAGGGAAGAAGCGAAAGUGACGGUACCUGCAGAAAAAGCACCGGCUAACUACGUGCCAGCAGCCGCGGUAAUACGUAGGGUGCAAGCGUUGUCCGGAAUUAUUGGGCGUAAAGAGCUCGUAGGCGGUUUGUCGCGUCUGCUGUGAAAUCCCGAGGCUCAACCUCGGGCUUGCAGUGGGUACGGGCAGACUAGAGUGCGGUAGGGGAGAUUGGAAUUCCUGGUGUAGCGGUGGAAUGCGCAGAUAUCAGGAGGAACACCGAUGGCGAAGGCAGAUCUCUGGGCCGUAACUGACGCUGAGGAG
rnacentral:rRNA from 1 species